rnacentral:tRNA from 1 species
GGCUAUGUGGAUCAGUGGUAGAGCUCUUGACUUGAGUUACAAGGGUCCUGGGAUCGAUUCCCGGUCCAGCCG